rnacentral:rRNA from 1 species
GACGAACGCUGGCGGCGUGCUUAACACAUGCAAGUCGAACGGAAAGACCCUGCUUUUGUGGGGUGCUCGAGUGGCGAACGGGUGAGUAACACGUGAGUAACCUGCCCUUGACUUUGGGAUAACUUCAGGGAACUGCGGCUAAUACCGGAUAUGAGCUCCUGCUGCAUGGUGGGGGUUGGAAAGUUUCGGCGGUUGGGGAUGGACUCGAGGCUUAUCAGCUUGUUGGGGGGGUAGUGGUGUACCAAGGCUUUGACGGGUAGCCCGCCUGAGAGGGUUAACGGGCACAAUGGGACUGAGAUACGGCCCAGACUCCUACGGGAGGCAGCAGUGGGGAAUAUUGCACAAUGGGCGGAAGCCUGAUGCAGCAACGCCGCGUGCGGGAUGACGGCCUUCGGGUUGUAAACCGAUUUCGCCUGUGACGAAGCGUGAGUGACGGUAAUGGGUAAAGAAGCACCGGCUAACUACGUG